rnacentral:lncRNA from 1 species
UGCGUGGCUCUGAGUGGAGCCCGUAUCAGUAUGUCCACCACGCAGCGCAUCCUAACUUGUCGUGUUAAUGACAUGGCCAUCUUACAUGGUCCGUAUUUUUUUUUUUUUGGCGAUUUGACCAAUGUUUUAAAUUUUUUCUUUCAAAUAUACCCAUUUUUAUUUACAGUUUUUCCAUACUUUCUAAAAUUAUUUUUGAUUUCGUCCAAAAUACAU